CAAAAACAAUAUGCGCCCCGAAAAAAUUUGGGCACAUAAACACUGUCUUGGAGUUAACAGCAGUUCUCUGUUUCUCCGGAAUGUUAUGUGCAAUAUGAUCGGGAUCGGAAGAAUGUUUCAAAAAGUCGGGCUCAGUGAUCAAUUAAUUUAAACAACAGACCGCCAAAAUUUAACCUUGGCAUCCAUGUUGUAACGUCUGCUCUGUCUAAAGGAGGAAGUUUCAAUAGUUUGUUGACCAGACAGCCCGAGAUCGUAUUGCUGUAUCAACCAAAAGAUGCAGAUACACGUAUUUCAUAUGCGCGUCUGUGCAUAAGGAGGAGAUUUUUUGAAAAAGAAUAAGUGGUUAUUCAACUAACUGCGAUUUUAACAGGCUUAAAACUGGUCCAUGGAUGGUUAUGUAUGAGGAUUUGCCCAUUCGACUGCAAGUGCUGCUGCAAGAAAUUAAACAUGCAGUGACCUUACAAAUUACAAAGAAGUCUGAAGAAAAUUUUCAUUGGACAGAUUGGUGUAAAGCACAGACCUCAGAGAUAUAAAUUGAAUAUUGUGAGAAAUAUGAAUCGGGAAUGCAGGUAGAAAAUGGCAAAUGUGAUCCAGAUUGAUAAAAAAUGUCUAUAAAAUUGCUUUUUUUUGUAAAUAUUCAAUGCUAUGUCAAUUGUUAUUUUUUCCCCAAUAUCUAAUAGUGUUGAACUUUUCACUACCACUUUUGCUUAAAUAGAAUGAAUAGAUUUCCAUUUGAUAAAUAUAAAAAAAAUGCCACAUUCUUAUUUAUUUUUUUUCCAUGAUGAAUUUGUGGCUUAAAUAAGAGUUCAAACUUUUUCCAAUUACAUGCUCCUCUGUUUGUUUGUCAAAGAUAUAAGAUCCAAUACAUUGCUCAUGAACAUAA